GAUGAACGCUGGCGGCGUGCUUAACACAUGCAAGUCGAACGAUGAACCAGGUGCUUGCACUUGGGGAUUAGUGGCGAACGGGUGAGUAACACGUGAGCAACCUGCCCCUCACUCUGGGAUAAGCGCUGGAAACGGCGUCUAAUACUGGAUACGAGUCGCAACCGCAUGGUUAGUGACUGGAAAGAUUUUUUGGUGGGGGAUGGGCUCGCGGCCUAUCAGCUUGUUGGUGAGGUAAUGGCUCACCAAGGCGUCGACGGGUAGCCGGCCUGAGAGGGUGACCGGCCACACUGGGACUGAGACACGGCCCAGACUCCUACGGGAGGCAGCAGUGGGGAAUAUUGCACAAUGGGCGGAAGCCUGAUGCAGCAACGCCGCGUGAGGGAUGACGGCCUUCGGGUUGUAAACCUCUUUUAGCAGGGAAGAAGCGAAAGUGACGGUACCUGCAGAAAAAGCACCGGC
rnacentral:rRNA from 1 species